rnacentral:misc_RNA from 1 species
UUUUUUCUUAAUGGAAAAUAUGUAAUUUUUCUGAUCAUUUGAUUUUGAUAGAGGUAAUAAUUUACAUAUUUUACAAUUUUAUACUACUAAAUUAAAAUUUAUUAAUUAAAAUUAUAAUGGUGUGAUAAAACAUGUAAAAUAAAUAAUUACAUAAGUUGGCGGUGGAAGAGACUAGAGAGGGCACAUCCACUGAUGAAAAACAUGUAAAAUAAAAUCCAACAAAAUCACUAAAAUCAUACAUGUAAAAAUCCAAUCGAGGGCCAAAAAAUUAUACCCAUCUUCUAUUACAAUCUCAUCACACAAUGAGGGGAAAUACCCUAACAGGGAUGGACCCUAAAUAGUAAUCAAGACCCAUGAAAGAUAAUGGUUCUUGGGCUCUAUACAGUAUCCUAACCAUAAUUAAUCACAAGUAUUAUUUUAGCAACCAUAGGAAGCCACCUCUCCCUCACUCUCAGGCUCCCCAUCUCUGAGGCAAUUUAGAGGAGGUAUAGUGACUGUUUCUUCUGUCCCAUAAGCAUUCCAACAGAACGGAUCAUCUAUCAACUCUCCUUCUUCAGGGAGAAGCUCAACUUCUGAUAGGGUAAUAUUUGUGCAAGGGAUAGUGUCACUGCAGGCAAAGUGAAUUGGUGGGGUUCUCACAUCAUAAGUGCCUUUAAUGUUUCUGUAUGAUACAUCUGUCACGUACACAGCUGAGGUCUGGUUUAGACAUUCCUUUGACAAGCAGUAAUACUGGUCUAUGAUCAUGCAGUUUCUAACAUUCUCCAUUUGUAUAUUCUGGAAGGAUAUGCCUGAAACAGAACCUGUGCCUCCUUGCCAUGUCUUGAUCCUCACUCCAUUGUCUGAAUCUUUUAUAAUUGCAUUACUCACUGUUAUGUUAGAGACACAGGCCUGGGAAUUGUGUACUCCUAGGCUUCCAAUGCUACAGAAAAUAUAGAAAGCAAGCAACAUUUAGAACAAUAAUAAUUUGGCUACCUAAGUGGACUUCAUUAGAUAAAGCCAUGAAGGGCAUCAAAAUACAAAAGAUAACUCGAGAAAGAAUAUGAAUUCAGUUAAAAACAGAGACUUUGUACCUAAUCCCAUGACUAGGCCCGCAGGUCACACCCUCUAUAUCAAUAUUUGAGCAACCAGUUCCAAUUGAUAUGCAAUCAUCACCUGCAUAAAGCCAAAGAUGCAUUAUUAGAAAAUGGCGUUAAUUAGAUUUUAUAGUAGACAAUUAAUUGACAAAUUGAGUAUUAAAGACAGAUUCUUUUUGCUUUACCAUUGCUAAUCAUAGAGUUGUGUAUUCCAACAGUCUUUGUAUUUUCUAUGUGGAUCCCAUCAGUGUUGGGGCUAAGUUUAGGAGAAUAUAUGGACAGCUGUUGUAUCAGAACUCCUUCGCAGCCAUCAAAUUUCAUGUGGAAUUGAGGACUGUUUUGAAUCCUUAAAUUGCUUAUUACUAGAUUGGAGCUCAUGAAGAAACGAAUCAACUGAAUCAAAAAGCCAAAAAAAAAUGUCAAUAAUGGAAAAUUAUAUGUAUAAUUCAUCAAUUGUGCACUGGAGAAAAGAUUAAAUUUUUCUAUAAGGAUAAUUUUCACUUACUGCAGGGCUUUCACACGGUCCUUUGGAUGCCUCUCCAUUGGGACCCUGCUGAAAUUACAUUUGGUAAGCAUUUAUGGUGCAAUGGAGAAAAGAUUGUACCAGAUAUUGUUAAAUUGGCAAACAUGAACGAGGUCUAGUAUUUUUUUUUUUCCCUUGUGCAAAUAUAGAACUAAUGUGAAGCAGGGUGGAAUAAAGUAAAAUUACCCUGUGAGGUUUGCAGGGGAGAUCCCACCACUUCUCUCCAUUGCCUUCAAUAGUUCCUUUUCCAGUGAGAGUCAUAUCAUCUAGUCGAUAAAAAACAAGCCAUUGCUUUCUGCUAUCUUUUUCUGGCCAGGAAUCUGGUCCAUCCGGUGGCGUUAGGCACCCAUCCACCUGAAACACAAGUCCUGGCUUGCAAGGCCCUGAGAAAAUGGUUGAAGUGAUCAUGAAAACAUAACCUGAAGGAGCCAAAACAACCCCUGAUUCUACUGCACAAGCUGCCUUCCAUGCUUCUACAAAUGCGGAAGUGUCAUCUGUGGAACCAUCUCCAACUGCUCCAUAAGAUGUCACGUCGAAAGUGCAAUCUGAACUGGAGUUUCCAGGAUCAUUCGGAUAUGGGUCUGAAGGGAUUGGAGAAGGACGAUUAACAGGGGAGGAAGGAACAGAGGGAUCUUGAGGAUUAGGGACAUUAUCAGGGGAUGGAGCAACAGGGGACCCUCCUUUUUUGGAGGACUUGUUUUUUGUCUUGUGAUAAUGGUAUCUUCCCUGUACAUUGCUUGAAUUCUGAACGACAAUAAUUACUACAAUUGAAAUUACUACCAAACCACGAACGAUCUCCAUUAGAAGCGAUGAAUUGAACUUGGAAGGAUACUGCUGUAUGUAAUCUUCAACACUAUAAUAUAACGAGCUAAAAACCGAUAAUAUGUUAAUGUGGGAGCAGGAACCACAAAUGAUUCCUCUGAAGAGUGACCACAAGACAGUUUGAACUUUCUGGAUGUUGUUGUUGCAUGCCAAAUUUAAUGGAGGAGAACCAACAGGAUAGAGAGAGAAGAAAGAAUGCAAGACCAACAAGUGAAGGCCUCAACCUCAAGGGAAGAAGGAUGAUGGCUAAUGACCAUUAUGAAGCAGAGGCGUUAUUUUAUAAUGGAAGAAAAGCUCCCCAUAGAAACUAUUCUCAUGCACAAGGUUGACACGUGUCAUGUUUGCACUGAUUGAAACAUCAUUGUCUGUAGGGAGGAAGGGUUGAAGAGGCUUAGGGAGGUUGGAAUUGUGUGGCAAAUUUGGCAGUGUUUAUGGGUUCUUGGGUGGAAAUCCAUGUGUUGAUCUCCAGCAUUUUAUUUCCCUUAUAAUAUUUGCUCUGCAUUGGUUUCUAAGUUAUGUGGUCUAGUUUCCUCUUCCAUUUUUAUUUAAUUUUUUAUUUGUUUGGAUUUUCUGCUGUUGUUUUUAUUCUGUUGCCUAGUAGGUUAAAGUGGGAUGGGACUAGGAAAG